CCUACGGGUGGCAGCAGUGAGGAAUAUUGGUCAAUGGGCGCGAGCCUGAACCAGCCAAGCAGCGUGAAGGAUGACUGCCCUACGGGUUGUAACUUUCUUUUAUAAAGGAAUAAAGUGUGACACGCGUGCCUGUAUGAACGCACUUUAUGAAUAAGGAUCGGCUCACUCCUUGCCAGCAGCCGCGGUAAUACUGAGGAUCCGAGCGUUAUCCGGAUUUCUUGGGCUUAAAGGGAGCGUGGGUGGGUUGUUAAGUCAGUUGUGCACGUUUGGGGCUCAACCGCUGAAUUGCAAUUGAUACUGGCAGUCUUGAGUACAGUUGCGGUAGGCGGAAUUCGUAGUGUAGCGGUGAAAUGCGUAGAUAUCACGAAGAACACCGGUGGCGAAGGCAGCUUACUAAACUGCAACUGACACUGCGGCGCGAAAGUGUGGGGAGCAAACAGGAUUAGAUACCCCAGUAGUC
rnacentral:rRNA from 1 species